rnacentral:piRNA from 1 species
UGAGCACUGGUCCUUUUCAAGGGGGU